AGUCUAAUAAGGAUGCCCUCCUCUCUUCAUGUCUCCUUGUCUCAUUUACUUCAUCUGUUAUAGAUGUGAAAGAGGAGGACUGGUGAAAACAAAUACAACAAAUAACAGGUGUUGCUACAGUUUCUGCAUUCACCAUCAUGCUUUCACCUAUAUGCUCUCACACCAGUUCAGAUGGAGAGGAGACGAGGUUAGAUAGAUGGAUGAAGGAGAGGAGACGAGGUUAGAUAGAUGGAUGAAGGAGAGGAGACGAGGUCGGAUAGAUGGAUUAAGGAGAGGAGACGAGGUCAGAUAGAUGGAUUAAGGAGAGGAGACGAGGUCAGAUAGAUGGAUUAAGGAGAGGAGACGAGGUCAGAUAGAUGGAUGAAGGAGAGGAGACGAGGUCAGAUAGAUGGAUGAAGGAGAGGAGACGAGGUCAGAUAGAUGGAAGAAGGAGAGGAGACGAGGUCAGAUAGAUGGAAGAAGGAGAGGAGACGAGGUCAGAUAGAUGGAUGAAGGAGAGGAGACGAGGUCAGAUAGAUGGAAGAAGGAGAGGAGACGAGGUCCGAUAGAUGGAUUAAGGAGAGGAGACGAGAAGAGGUCAGAUAGAUGGAAGAAGAAGAGGAGACGAGGUCAGAUAGAUGGAUUAAGAAGAGGAGAUGAUGCCAGGAGAGUAAACCACACUACCACACUAUGCUUGCCCACGUGCAUCCCUGCUAAGACCAGGCCAAAG
rnacentral:lncRNA from 1 species